rnacentral:RNase_P_RNA from 1 species
GGUAUACGUAGUUCUAUGAGGAGUCUCUCGAGAAUUCUCAUAGGAAUACCAAGCCAGGGCACGUGCAACAGAAAGCAUACCGCCGAUGGCCCGCCGAUGAGGCGGGCACAGGCAAGGUUGAAAUCGUGGGGUAAAAGCCCACGCGUUCGCGCGGUGACGCGCGAAAAGAGGUAAACCCUACCCGGUGAAAGGGCGCAUAAAUGGUAGCCCGUUAGAACGCGCAGGCAACUGCGCGUCCAGAUAGAUGAUUGCCGCCGGUUUUGCUACGGCAGAACCGGAACAAAAUUCGGCUUAUCGGUUUUCCUGUCCA